rnacentral:tRNA from 1 species
GCCUUCGUGGUGUAGUGGUCAGCACGCUCGGCGCGUAUUCAAGAGGUCCGAGGUUCGAGUCUCGAUGAGGGCA